GCGGACGUAGCUCAAUCUGGUCGAGCGCUUCCCUGUCACGGAAGAGGGUGCGGGUUCAAAUCCCGUCGUCCGCG
rnacentral:tRNA from 2 species